rnacentral:tRNA from 1 species
GGGGAUUUAGCUCAAUGGUAGAGCACUUGCCUAGUAAGCACAAGGCCCUGGGUUCAGUCCCCAGCUCCG